rnacentral:tRNA from 1 species
GUAGAGCUCAGUGGUAAAGCACAUGCUUAGCAUGCAAAAGGCCUCGGGUUUGAUCCCCAGCACUACA